GAGAGUCCCCAAUGACUUGAUAACCUUUCUCAAUUCUCUAGUAACCUCACUUGACCAGGCAGGGCUCUCAAUAUACCUCUUCACCAGUGGCAUGGUUUCUGAUUACAUCUGGUGUCACC
rfam:Oryctolagus cuniculus cont2.68486, whole genome shotgun sequence.